AAUUGCAAUUUUCAUUCAUUUCUAUUGUUAAAAACCGACAUAGUUGAUGUAAUAACUAGAUAAUUACAUAUGGUGUGCCACGUGUAUCUCGUAUUGAUGUAUAGGGACCAGUUUUUAAUUAUAGAGAUAAAUGAAACUUUUAAUG
rfam:Gossypium raimondii Chr10_contig_1415, whole genome shotgun sequence.